rnacentral:rRNA from 1 species
CCCUUAGAUGUUCUGGGCCGCACGCGUGCUACACUGAGUGGAUCAGCGGGUCAGGUUGCGCGAAAGCGUUUCCUAAUCUUUAAAUCCGCUCGUGAUGGGGAUUGACGGUUGCAAUUUUCUGUCAUGAACGAGGAAUACCUUGUAAGCGCGGGUCAUCAUCCCGCGCUGAAUACGUCCCUGCCCUUUGUACACACCGCCCGUCGCUCCUACCGAUUGAGUGGUCCGGUGAGGCUUUGGGAUCUGAGCGGAAAGAGCGUUUCGCUGUUUCUGCUCGGGAAACUCAGUCGAACCUUAUCAUUUAGAGGAAGGAGAAGUCGUAACA